rnacentral:rRNA from 1 species
GACGAACGCUGGCGGCGUGCUUAACACAUGCAAGUCGAGCGGAAAGGCCCUUUCGGGGGUACUCGAGCGGCGAACGGGUGAGUAACACGUGAGUAAUCUGCCCUGGACUCUGGGAUAGCCACCGGAAACGGUGAUUAAUACCGGAUAUGACACCUUGCUGCAUGGUGGGGUGUGGAAAGUUUUUUCGGUCCAGGAUGUGCUCGCGGCCUAUCAGCUUGUUGGUGAGGUAAUGGCUCACCAAGGCUUUGACGGGUAGCCGGCCGGAGAGGGUGGCCGGUCACACUGGGACUGAGACACGGCCCAGACUCCUACGGGGGGCAGCAGUGGGGAAUAUUGGACAAUGGGCGGAAGCCUGAUCCAGCAACGCCGCGUGAGGGAUGACGGCCUUCGGGUUGUAAACCUCUUUCAGUACCGACGAAGCGUGAGUGACGGUAGGUACAGAAGAAGGACCGGCCAACUACGUGCCAGCCGCCGCCGUAACAC